GAAUGCGUAGCUCAGUAGGUAGAGCGCUUGACUUUUAAUCAAGUUGUCGCGGGUUCGAUUCCCGCCGCGUUCACCA
rnacentral:tRNA from 1 species